UCCGUAGGUGAACCUGCGGAAGGAUCAUUAUCGAGUUUUGACCGGGUUGUAGCUGGCCUUCUGAGGCAUGUGCACGCCCUGCUCAUCCACUCUACACCUGUGCACUUACUGUGGGCUUCAGAUUGCGAGGCACGCUCUUUACCGGGCUUGCGGAGCAUAUCUGUGCCUGCGUUUAUCACAAACUCUAUAAAGUAACAGAAUGUGUAUUGCGAUGUAACACAUCUAUAUACAACUUUCAGCAACGGAUCUCUUGGCUCUCGCAUCGAUGAAGAACGCAGCGAAAUGCGAUAAGUAAUGUGAAUUGCAGAAUUCAGUGAAUCAUCGAAUCUUUGAACGCACCUUGCGCUCCUUGGUAUUCCGAGGAGCAUGCCUGUCUGAGUGUCAUGAAAUCUUCAACCUACAAGCUUUUGUGGUUUGUAGGCUUGGACUUGGAGGCUUGUCGGCCGUUAUCGGUCGGCUCCUCUUAAAUGCAUUAGCUUGGUUCCUUGCGGAUCGGCUCUCGGUGUGAUAAUGUCUACGCCGUGACCGUGAAGCGUUUGGCGAGCUUCUAACCGUCUUAUAAGACAGCUUUAUGACCUCUGACCUCAAAUCAGGUAGGACUACCCGCUGAACUUAAGCAUAUCAAUAAGCGGAGGA
rnacentral:rRNA from 1 species